rnacentral:lncRNA from 1 species
UCCUUUGUCUUUUUUUUUAAAUUUUUAUAUUAUCUCUUUCUUCUCUGAAAUAUUAAAAUGUAAGAUGUUAUGUAGGAAGAAUAAAUAGCAGUAUAAAUAUUUAAGAUUUCAUUCAUCUUCUGUUCAUCUUUUCUCAAGAAAUAUUUAUUUGAGAUAUGUUAGAGAUAUUUUUGAUAUUAUAUGAUCAAUAAUCUUAAAUUCCCGUAGUAUACUAAAUAAGUUAUCUAUACACACUCAGAGGUCUUUAAUCACAGCAUUAUGGCCAACCAAACAUAG